GGGGGAUUAGCUCAGCUGGGAGAGCGCUACAAUGGCAUUGUAGAGGUCAGGGGUUCGAGUCCCCUAUCCUCCACCA
rnacentral:tRNA from 1 species